GUCCCAAGAAACUGCUGAAAAAGCACCCAUCCAUAUAAUACAUCAUGUAACUUCUGGGUAAUUCCCAACAAAGGCCAUGUUGAUUUGAUGAGCUUUAGGAUUUCAUCAGCUUCCUCUAUGAGCUUGCCAUCUUCCAGAAUGUCAAAUAAACCAAGGAGUAGCUUCUCAUACAGCCUCAUGUUAAACGGAUAACCAGCACUCCAGUAAUAUGUCUCGCCUUG
rnacentral:misc_RNA from 1 species